GACGAACGCUGGCGGCGUGCUUAACACAUGCAAGUCGAACGGAAAGGCCCUGCUUUUGUGGGGUGCUCGAGUGGCGAACGGGUGAGUAACACGUGAGUAACCUGCCCUUGACUUUGGGAUAACUUCAGGAAACUGGGGCUAAUACCGGAUAGGAGCUCCUGCUGCAUGGUGGGGGUUGGAAAGUUUCGGCGGGUGGGGAUGGACUCGCGGCUUAUCAGCUUGCUGGUGGGGUAGUGGCUUACCAAGGCUUUGACGGGUAGCCGGCCUGAGAGGGUGACCGGCCACAUUGGGACUGAGAUACGGACCAGACUCCUACGGGAGGCAGCAGUGGGGAAUAUUGCACAGUGGGCGGAAGCCUGAUGCAGCAACGCCGCGUGCGGGAUGACGGCCUUCGGGUUGUAAACCGCUUUCGCCUGUGACGAAGCGUGAGUGACGGUAAUGGGUAAAGAAGCACCGGCUAACUACGUG
rnacentral:rRNA from 1 species